GAUGAACGCUGGCGGCGUGCCUAAUACAUGCAAGUCGAGCGAACAGACGAGGAGCUUGCUCCUUUGACGUUAGCGGCGGACGGGUGAGUAACACGUGGGUAACCUACCUAUAAGACUGGGAUAACUUCGGGAAACCGGAGCUAAUACCAGAUAAUAUUUCGAACCGCAUGGUUCGAUAGUGAAAGAUGGCUUUGCUAUCACUUAUAGAUGGACCUGCGCCGUAUUAGCUAGUUGGUAAGGUAACGGCUUACCAAGGCAACGAUACGUAGCCGACCUGAGAGGGUGAUCGGCCACACUGGAACUGAGACACGGUCCAGACUCCUACGGGAGGCAGCAGUAGGGAAUCUUCCGCAACGGGCGAAAGCCUGACGGAGCAACGCCGCGUGAGUGAUGAAGGUCUUCGGAUCGUAAAACUCUGUUAUUAGGGAAGAACAAACGUGUAAGUAACUGUGCACGUCUUGACGGUACCUAAUCAGAAAGCCACGGCUAACUACGUG
rnacentral:rRNA from 1 species